CUGUUUUUUUUUUUUUUUUUUUUUAGUGGGGAAGACUGAAUUUUUUUUUCAAUGGUCACAAUGUAGCUGUCUGGUGAUGUUUACAAAAGGCCCAACCAAAAGACCCCACCUAUCAAUUCAAAUGACAACAAUUCCUUUAAAAAUCAGAUACACUGAACUAUGCUGUAAUAUUUCAACUAUACCAACAGAAAACUUGUUUCAACUUUACAUUACACUACAUCAUAUGCGUGGCUUAAAAACAUCUAGCUUUGGAUAUGCUUGA